CCACGGCUGCCCACGGCCCCGCCCCUGAGGCUGAGUGAAGUCGUGCUCUGGGCGGUUGUGACUUCUGGUCGGGUAGAAACGUUUCUGGUUGAGCUGUCAGUGGCUGAAGGUCCUUCCUGCCCCUGGAGAGGAAAAUUUCAACCCCGGAAAAUUACCAGGGCAGGCGGCCAGGGAAGUUUCUGCCCCGGGGCGGUGGUUUCAGAGUGAAGUUUCCUGGGCUGGUCUCAGCCUGCAGGAGAAGCGCUGACUCCCGGGAACUCUGACAGGCACGAUUCUCCUGGUUCUCUGGAGACCAGGAAAGCUGUCCAAGGCUUUCCCAAUGUGGGCAGGAACCAGUCAUUGUCACAGGGAAGCAUGGCCUUUGGGACAGGUGCAGGCUGUAAGCUGUGUGUUCAGAAGGCAUGUGGACUCCUUCCAGCAAGCACGGCCUCACCCACCUGACUCACGCCUUCAUGGCGCCAGCUCCCCUCCCCCAGCCCCUUUAGGAAAACUUUUCAGAGCACCCGGAAGCCAGGCACAUACCAAGGGAGGUUUAAAUACCCAUUAAAUCAUUAAAGCAGAAAACACAUCUCCUCCUUUGUCCCACCCUCCUCUUCAUGCACACCCCCUGUCUGUGGGUGGAGGGCACCUGACCCCCUCCGGGUUCCUCUGCCGCUGCUGGGAGUCCCAGGCCUGUGCCACGCAUGCCAGCACACACCUCAGGCUCCACAGGCCCCGGGAAGGCUCUGAAGUGCUCCAAAGGAGACACAAUUUGGAAGCCAUGCCCAACUCCUCUCUGAGUGAACCACAGAAAACUUCACUGAUGGAACCAAAAGCACCCCGGGCAGCCAGCCUGAUGGCUGUGGAGGACGGUGUGUGCGUCUGCGGCCUUGGAGGUCCCAGCUCAAUCAGGUCAGGCUGCUGUGCCCGCCUGCUGGGGCUGCCGGGCCUGCCAUAGGCCCUGGAGCCACAGUCACCUCCAAGGCUUGGGAGCAUCACACGGCAGGCACCACUGAGGCUGCCUCCCUGGUGACCGAGUGGCGUCCGUGGGAGGUGACUGCACAGGAGGCAGCACCGGCCUGCCUGACACCCAUGUGGCCCCAGUCCGACCAGCUGGGUCAUUGCAAGCGCCAGCACCCAGGCAGCACUGGGCCUCAGCUUGUUCACCUGUAAAGCAGGGGACGCCAGGGCUGUGAGGAGCAGGGAGACGAAGCUAUGGAGAGCCCAGAGCAGCGCGAGCCGUGGACCAGGGCUGGCUCCGGGCCCGACUCCCACCGUGGCUCCUAAGUUAGAAACGUGCAGGAGACCAUGUCCUUUCCUGCUGGGAACCUCCCGAGGCUCCUGGGGCCUCAGAGUGAGACCUGCACUCCUUUUGUCGAAGGCCGGAGUCACUGAAUCACCCGGGAAAUGAGAGCACACUCCCGGGUGGACUCUCAGCCACGGUUCUCCCCUCCUCAUGGCAGCAGCGUGUUCCCACAGCCUCGCAGGGGACUGCAAGGCAGGAAGAGCCUUCUUCCACCUCCUGGGCUUGAGCUUCAUCCUGUAACUUCCAUUGGCCAAUGGGAUCUUGGUGAACGUGGCACAAGUGAAGUCUUGAAUUGCUCAUGGGCAGUCAGGCUGUGUUCUUGCACUUCUGUCCUUGCCAUGACAGGAACUGGUCCUGGGUGGCCUGCUGGUCCCGGGAGGACAAGAAACAGUGAGCAGAGCGGACCCUUGCCCACAGCCAGAACCAGCUGGAUCAGCCUGUGGACAUGGGACUCAGAAAGAAAUGUUGUCUACUGUCUGCAGCUGACUGUGGCUGUUCGUUACACAGCUGUAGCUGACUGAUACAAUAGGGAACUCAGGUGAGAGUGUCUGGUGCUGAUCUUAUUGGUUGAUCUCCCAAAUAUCUUUGGUGCUCAUUCCCCAUCUCUGUCACCCUUCCCAGGUUCAAGCCAUCACCUUACACAACAGUAACAGCACGAUAGUCCCUAUGUCCUGCAGCGUCCCCACUUCCUUCCCAGCCAGCCCCUCCAAUCCAGUCCCCUCUAGCAUGGAGCCCCUUGAUAGCUCUCUCCGCUCUUAGAAACCGACCAGACCCCUCUCCAGAUCUCCAGCCUCCUGCCUCUCCCAUCCCCGUACCAUGUACGUUUUAAUCACAACAACAUCCAUGUCAUGCUCUUCCCUCCCAGACAAUCUCCAGUCAUCCUCCAGUCUCAGCUAAAAUGUCACCUCUUCCAGGAAGCCCUCUGGUUAAGCUCAGCCUCUCUGUCAUAUUCUAAGAACCUAUCAUGUUGCAUGUUCUGUUAGUGGGUGAUUGUCUGAUUCAAGCUGGCCUCUCCCACUGGACAGUGGCCCAUGAAUGGCGACCCUGACUUCUUGUUCAUCAUCAUAUCCCCACACCCAGACAGGACCUGGCCUAGCACAGGCACCCCAUGGAGAGCUGACGAAUGGACAGACAGUCCAGAUGGCCAGUGAGUGACAGCGGGGCAGCCCUGUGGCUCCCUGCGUGCAGGGGCUGUGGCAAGGAGUCCUGGAUGGAGCUCAGCCAGCAGCCUCUCCCUUUAGGUCCUGCUAGAAGCCUGGCGGAGGCACAUUCAGCACAAUAGAGGGACACUGCUGGAAGCCAGGGGGCGGCUCAGACUGGUGCCCCUUCUGCCCCAAUCUAUUCUAUUUGCCCCAGCUGGGGUCCUGAUGAUUCUGGUGGUCUGUAGGAUGCUGACCCUGAGCCCCCGCCAUCUGACUCUGAGGGCUGUGCUUGGGAGAUGAGCUCGAGAAAUCUCAGCAGCCGCCUCUGAAUUUGGCCUUGGAGGGUGCAGAGUGCUCCGCGCCUCCCUCCUCUGCCAGGGCCUGUGGGCAGUGUUGCUUGCCAGCCACGGCCCAGGACAUUCUUCCAGCAGGGUGGACAGAGGGCAGUCUCCAAAGCGUUUCCAUCCUGGGUUUCUGCUGAUCCUGUUAGAUCUUUCUGGAAUUUCCAGGCUCCUUUCACACAGAGAAAGGAGCUGGCCUGGGGCCUAUGACAGGAGCUCUGGCACUGGGGCUGCACCGGCAUCCCAGGCCCCUCGCUGGCCUGUGGCCCCUCACGCCAGGAGGCCUGUCCCCCCGGGGGUUCAUGCUCCUUCCAGCUUCUGUUUACCUGGAGAGACCCCUUAAUGCCGUGGGGUGGGGGAUGUCACCCCCCAAGUCCCCAGUCUCUGCAUUUCCUCUCUGCCUGUCCCCGGUGGGGCAGAAGAGGGACAGCCGUCCCCUACGGUAUGGGAACAUUGCCCCCACUGUGGGCAGAUCCUUGCUGCUCAGCAUCUCCCCCACCAAGUCCGUCAGCGGUUCAAGGCUUUGGUUUCUCCCAAUCCCAUCUGUGCACCCAGCCUUGUCAGCAUUACUGCUCAAAGCCAGGGUUGGGGGUGUCCCUGACAUCACACACAUCCUCCCCCAGGCCACUCCCACCCAGCAGCUGCCAGGAGCCUCUGACUUAAAAAACUCAACUUCAUCAUGGCUGCGGGGUCUUACAUGGGGAUUCUGAGCCCUUGCUGCCGUGCAAAAACACCAGCAUCCACUCAGCCAGCAGGCCAGGGAAACCCCGGGGCUGGGCAGGGCAUUUUCCACUCUGGAACUUCAUUCUUGCCACCAGCUGCUCUGUGCCUCUCUAAUAAAACCGUGGAACCCAGGCGUGGCGGCCGCGUGCCUGUCAAACCUGCUUCCUCAUCUCCUUCCAGGGUUCUGACCAGAGUGUGAACAAGUAAAUCAAAGUCCUGUUCAUUUCUGAAAAAACAUUAUUUUCCUCAAU